UGGGGAAUCUUGCGCAAUGGGCGAAAGCCUGACGCAGCGACGCCGCGUGAGUGAUGAAGGCCUUCGGGUUGUAAAGCUCUGUGGGGAGAGACGAAUAAGUCGGAGCGAAUAGCUCCGAUGAUGACGGUAUCUCCUUAGCAAGCACCGGCUAACUCUGUGCCAGCAGCCGCGGUAAGACAGAGGGUGCAAACGUUGUUCGGAAUUACUGGGCGUAAAGCGCAUGUAGGCGGUCGCAUAGGUCGGAUGUGAAAUCCCUCGGCUCAACCGAGGACGUGCAUUCGAAACCCUGCGACUCGAGUCCUGGAGAGGGUAGUGGAAUUCUCGGCGUAGAGGUGAAAUUCGUAGAUAUCGGGAGGAACACCGGCGGCGAAAGCGGCUACCUGGACAGAGACUGACGCUGGGAUGCGAAAGCGUGGGGAGCAAACAG
rnacentral:rRNA from 1 species